UACGUAGGUGGCAAGCGUUGUCCGGAUUUACUGGGCGUAAAGAGCGCGCAGGCGGUCGAAUAAGUCGAAUGUGAAAGCCCCCGGCUCAACUGGGGAGGGUCACGCGAUACUGAUCGACUCGAAGGCAGGAGAGGGUAGUGGAAUUCCCGGUGUAGUGGUGAAAUGCGUAGAUAUCGGGAGGAACACCGGUGGCGAAGGCGGCGACCUGGGUCGACACUGACGCUGAGGCGCGAAAGCGUGGGGAGCAAACAGG
rnacentral:rRNA from 1 species